CUACGUGCCAGCAGCCGCGGUAAUACGUAGGGGGCAAGCGUUAUCCGGAUUUACUGGGUGUAAAGGGAGCGUAGAUAGAAUGGUAAGUCUGAAGUGAAAUACCCGGGCUCAACCUGGGAACUGCUUUGGAAACUGUUGUUCUAGAGUGUUGGAGAGGUAAGUGGAAUUCCUGGUGUAGCGGUGAAAUGCGUAGAUAUCAGGAAGAACACCGGAGGCGAAGGCGGCUUACUGGACAAUAACUGACGUUGAGGCUCGAAAGCGUGGGGAUCAAACAGGAUUAGAUACCCUGGUAGUCCACGCUGUAAACGAUGAAUACUAGGUGUCGGGGUACAAAGUAUCUCGGUGCCGUCGCUAACGCAAUAAGUAUUCCACCUGGGGAGUACGUUCGCAAGAAUGAAACUCAAGGGAAUUGACGGGGACCCGCACAAGCGGUGGAGCAUGUGGUUUAAUUCGAAGCAACGCGAAGAACCUUACCAAGUCUU
rnacentral:rRNA from 1 species